GGGAGGGGCACUGUAUUUCAAGUUUGGAGAGAUAUUUAACUGCAGGUACUUUGAGUAGAAGUGAAAGAGACAGAGGUAUAGGCAAAUUACAGCAACCCUCUGGAUUUCAGAAUGUUCCAUUGCUUUUCCUACAAUUUGGAUUUUAAAACAAGGGUAAAGGCAAAGACAAGCAGCCCAUACCUUAAGUAGUUGUAACAACCCCUUGGCAGCUGGUGUAGGAAGACCAUGAGCUGGAAGUCCACAUGAGAACACUGGAACCUUCAAGAUGCUGGGAGUAUUUGUUGAAGUGAGUCUGAAAGCAAAACUCAAUGGAUAUAAACAGAUUUCCCUACCAAAACUUCUUUCUCAGAAGAGGAGAUUACUUCCCUACAUUGUUCCUACUACUUGCAAGAAUGAACUGGCUGAUUGAGAUUGUCUGCUUGAUUCAGACCAAGGGAGAUCCCAAGUGGACCCAAUCUCUGCCCAUCUGGGAUCGCUCACCCUGGAUAGAGACUGAUGUAGGAUAUGAUACAUUAAUCAAAAAGGAAUGACCACGACUCAUGAUCUCACAUCUUCCCAAUCAUCAUUUCUCCAAGUCUCUCUUCAGUUCCAAGACCAAGUUGUAGGUGGAUCAUGGUUUGAGCACAUCUGUGACUGGCUGUCCAUGAGAGAACGGGCAACUUCUUGGUACUGCACUAUGAAGACAUGAAAAGAUGAGCAUCCAACUUACUAUCAUUUACACAGUUAAGAACUCGAUCGUAGUAAUUAAAAAGGUUACUAAGAACUGUGAUUUUUGUCUUAAUUUUUUCAUAAUUAUCUUUUAUUAAUUAAAACAACUUUUAAAUGUGAAUAUAUUUGAUCAUAUUCAUCUUCUCCCAGAGGCUUUCCAGAUGAUCUAUGCCUCCUUAUCCUCCCAACUUUAAAGUUUUUCUACAACAAAUCUAGUUCAGCAACAAGCCUCCCAAAUCAAGAAAAUAUAAAACCAUGCAAUAUGAAGUAAUGUACUGAACACUUGUUUGUAAAUGUGUCAUAAGUUAGAAUCAUGUGAAAGGAGGCAACUACAGUUAUGAAAAUAUCUCCAUAAGAUCCAUCGGUAGGCAAUCUUAUAAGGCAUUUCUGUACUCAUUGAUUGAAGGGGAUGUACCUAACCCCUCGUGAGAGCUGCCAUCCUUGAGUUCUUUAAGAAAACAGGCUGAGCAUACUAUGGUAAAGGAGACAUCAAGCAGCAUGCCUCUAUUGCCUCAGCAUCAUUUCCAGACUCCAGGUUCCUGUACUUUUUUACCUCUUGCCCUGGUAUCCUGCAAUGAUGUAUAAUAACAACAUGUAAGUGCAAGUGAAAUGAUGUGAAAAAAACUAUCACAUAGAAAUUAGACCAGUCAAACCAACAAAACUAAGAGAAUUUGAUUGAAAACACUAGGAUCAGAGAUCCACUCAUUCACUCACUUGGGGAUCUCAUGAAAAAACUAUACUGGACAGAAUUUUAUAGACAGAGCAUAUGUGGGUCAGUGGCACCCAAGAUCUGUCCAUGCUGCUUCACUCUCUGAGAAUUUAUAUCACUUGGUGCUAUCAAUUUUCUCUUGCUUUAGCAGUCUAUCAGCCUCUUCUUCUGCAGGGUUUCCUGAUCUCUGGAAGGAAGGAUUUGAUAGAGAUAUCCAUUUAUGGUGUCUCAUUCUCUACAAUGUAUUGCUGUAGGUUUCUGUAUUUGUCCCUGUUUGCUACAAGAGGAAGUUUCUCUGAUGAUGCCUAAGCAAGGCACUAUUCAAUGUGUAUAGCAGAAUAUCAUGAGGAGACAUUUUUCUACUAUUUUUUUUCUUUUUUCUUUUUAAUAAAAUUAUUUUGUUUUAUCAUAGGGCCCUGGCCUAUCUAGUCCAAGGUCCUUGGUCACCCAUGUAGUUUAUGAUACAGGCUCCAUGUCACAGAAUGGGACUUAAGUUAAAUCAGUUAUUGGUUGAAUAUUCCCAUAAGCUUUGAGCUACCACUGACCUAACUUAUCUCACAAGUAGUACACCGCUAUCGAUAGGACUUUUGUCCAGCUUGGUGUUUAUAUUUCUCUUGUGAGCAUGGAAAGUGCCCUUCUGUACUAAAGACACUAGGAUGUAAGGGUGAAUGGUCUCUGUAGGGACCAGCUUCACAUACAUUAAUUUGUAUAGGUGUUGUCUUUAGCAAUUGAGGACUUGCUGUCAGUUUGUUGAGAGCAACUUCUAAUCUUAUUAACAGUCUGAGUUUUUUGAUGGGGAUUCUCACGGGGUCCAUUUAGACAACAUCUCAAUUAGAUGUAACCCAAUCCUAGUACUGGAAUUUUUCUUUCAUUCAUUUUCUUUAUUUGGAACAAGAGAUGGGCAAUAUGUGGUGAUUUCACUUUGAACACUUUCAUAUGUGCAUAGAUUUUAGGAAGUUUCCACUGUAUUAGGUUUCAACUCUACCUCUCUAAUGCCUAUUAAUUUUAUGUUUCUCUCCCUGUACUCCCUUUCAAAAACCCCUCUUCCUUCCCCUUUCCAAUUGACUCCUCCAUCCUAGCUCUUGAACUUCCCUUCAUAAUUUGUUCUGUACAUUUAAUGUUUUGAUUAUUAUGUGCUCAGGGGACUUUUUUCCUUGUCCAAUCUAUUUGGUCUUCUGUAUGUUUCAUGAAUGUUGAUAGGCAUCUCUUUCUUCAGGUUAGUAUUUUUUCUAUGAUUUUGUUGAAAAUAUUUGCUGUUCCUUUGUCCUGGGCUUCCUUUUCUUCUUCUAUUCCUAUUAUUCAUAGAUCUGGCCAUAUUAUGUGCCAUGAGUUUAAUUUUUAGUACUUAU
ensembl:lncRNA